AACCUCUCUCCAUGUAGAAUUACACAUUCCCGGACGUCAUUAUCUGAAGUGAAAUUGAAAAUCCAGCAGAUGGCGCAGGAACUCCGUUCAAGAUAUGCAGAUGAACGUGGUACAUUCCGGUGUUUGGAAAUCGCUCCCAAGGAUGGACCAGACUUGUGGAGGAGGUCUGCAAUUUGGCUGAUAUCUUUUGAUUUUCCCACGAUGUCAAGCAAAGAGGCACUGAGUUGGAAGGAACAACUUUGCAGACAACCACCGCCACAACAUGUAAAAUCCUCAAAGGUCGCUGCGAGAAGCGGCACUGCCUUUUCAACAGAACUCUGCUUAUUAUCGGAUGUAUGUAUUACAGUAGGUUAUGAAAUCGGACUUUUUGGAUAUAAUGUUAUGAUAUGUUAAAGAUCCCAUUGAACGAUUAA